UACGUAGGGUGCAAGCGUUAAUCGGAAUUACUGGGCGUAAAGCGUGCGCAGGCGGCUUUGUAAGACUGUCGUGAAAUCCCCGGGCUUAACCUGGGAAUGGCGAUGGUGACUGCAAGGCUAGAGUUUGGCAGAGGGGGGUAGAAUUCCACGUGUAGCAGUGAAAUGCGUAGAGAUGUGGAGGAACACCGAUGGCGAAGGCAGCCCCCUGGGUCAAAACUGACGCUCAUGCACGAAAGCGUGGGGAGCAAACAGG
rnacentral:rRNA from 1 species